rnacentral:rRNA from 1 species
GACGAACGCUGGCGGCGUGCUUAACACAUGCAAGUCGAACGGAAAGGCCCUGCUUUUGUGGGGUGCUCGAGUGGCGAACGGGUGAGUAACACGUGAGUAACCUGCCCUUGACUUUGGGAUAACUUCAGGAAACUGGGGCUACUACCGGAUAGGAGCUCCUGCUGCAUGGUGGGGGUUGGAAAGUUUCGGCGGUUGGGGAUGGACUCGCGGCUUAUCAGCUUGUUGGUGGGGUAGUGGCUUACCAAGGCUUUGACGGGUAGCCGGCCUGAGAGGGUGACCGGCCACAUUGGGACUGCGAUACGGCCCAGACUCCUACGGGAGGCAGCAGUGGGGAAUAUUGCACAAUGGGCGGAAGCCUGAUGCAGCAACGCCGCGUGCGGGAUGACGGCCUUCGGGUUGUAAACCGCUUUCGCCUGUGACGAAGCGUGAGUGACGGUAAUGGGUAAAGAAGCACCGGCUAACUACGUG